UGGAGAGUUUGAGUAAAGAAUACUUGUCUAAACCCUAAACCAUAAUUAAAAUGAUGAUUAGCUAACUUAAAAAGUUGUAAAUAGAAAAUCAAGCUAAUCCUUUAACUCAUACUCCAUAUAAAUAUAGUCGGAGCUCCGAAUCUGAAGUUUGGAGCUCCAUUAAAUAUCCGGUGUCGGAGAUGGACCUCGUUGGAACCCUUCAAUCGGAACUCGAAACUCUUAGAAGCAGAAUCAAGGAAUUGGAAUCCGAAAAUGCUAAUUUAUCUGCUCGCCUUUCGAAUUGCAGUUGCCAAAAGACAAAGGAGAAAGGUAACGGUAGCGUUGUAGUUGUGAAGAACGGAAUUUUGGAUGGCCAUGGAAAGAAGAAAAAUAAGCUCAGAGAUUUCGGUU